rnacentral:rRNA from 1 species
GACGAACGCUGGCGGCGUGCUUAACACAUGCAAGUCGAACGGAAAGGCCCUGCUUUUGUGGGGUGCUCGAGUGGCGAACGGGUGAGUAACACGUGAGUAACCUGCCCUUGACUUUGGGAUAACUUCAGGAAACUGGGGCUAAUACCGGAUAGGAGCUCCUGCUGCAUGGUGUGGGUUGGAGAGUGUCGGCGGUUGGGGAUGGACUCGCGGCUUAUCAGCUUGUUGGUGGGGUAGUGGCUUACCAAGGCUUUGACGGGUAGCCGGCCUGAGAGGGUGACCGGCCACAUUGGGACUGAGAUACGGCCCAGAAUCCUACGGGAGGCAGCAGUGGGGAAUAUUGCACAAUGGGCGGAAGCCUGAUGCAGCAACGCCGCGUGCGGGAUGACGGCCUUCGGGUUGUAAACCGCUUUCGCCUGUGACGAAGCGUGAGUGACGGUAAUGGGUAAAGAAGCACCGGCUAACUACGUG